rnacentral:rRNA from 1 species
GACGAACGCUGGCGGCGUGCUUAACACAUGCAAGUCGAGCGGUAAGGCCUCUUCGGGGGUACACGAGCGGCGAACGGGUGAGUAACACGUGGGUGACCUGCCCUCAGCUCUGGGAUAAGCCUGGGAAACUGGGUCUAAUACCGGAUAUGACCUUUCCUCGCAUGGGGUUUGGUGGAAAGUUUUUUCGGCUGGGGAUGGGCCCGCGGCCUAUCAGCUUGUUGGUGGGGUGAUGGCCUACCAAGGCGACGACGGGUAGCCGGCCUGAGAGGGCGACCGGCCACACUGGGACUGAGACACGGCCCAGACUCCUACGGGAGGCAGCAGUGAGGAAUAGUGCGCAAUGGGCGGAAGCCUGACGCAGCGACGCCGCGUGGGGGAUGACGGCCUUCGGGAUGUAAACCUCUUUCGACCCCGACGAAUUUGGACGGUAGGGGUAGAAGAAGCACCGGCCAACUACGUG